CCUACGGGUGGCAGCAGUGGGGAAUAUUGGGCAAUGGAGGCAACUCUGACCCAGCAACGCCGCGUGAAUGAUGAAGGUCUUCGGAUUGUAAAGUUCUUUUCUAAGGGAAGAAGAAAGUGACGGUACCUUAGGAAUAAGCCUCGGCUAACUACGUGCCAGCAGCCGCGGUAAUACGUAGGAGGCAAGCGUUAUCCGGAAUGACUGGGCGUAAAGGGUGCGUAGGUGGUUUGACAAGUUGGUAGCGUAACUCCGGGGCUCAACUUCGGAACUACUACCAAAACUGUUGGACUCGAGUGCAGGAGGGGAGACUGGAAGUUCUAGGGGAGCGGUGGAAUGCGUAGAUAUUAGGAAGAACACCGGGGGCGAAGGCGAGUUGCUGGACUGUAACUGACACUGAGGCACGAAAGCGUGGGGAGUAAACAGGAUUAGAUACCCGAGUAGUC
rnacentral:rRNA from 1 species